AUAUCCAAAACACCUUUCAGACAGCAAAUAAGCGUUUGCAGCUGUCGGGGCUCUCCCAAUUCUACAAACGCCCUUUUUCACCGUCUUUCUCUCUUAUAAGGAAGGCGGUCAAACAGUCUUCCCUCUGAUUGAAGACCCUGACCUCUUCAACCCUCCCUCUGUCUUUCUAUCUGGUAUGGAGGGAGAGGACGAGGAAAAAGAGAAGGAAGGGCCAAAAGAGUAGUUUGGGAAAAAAAAGGAAAAAGGAAAUCGGAAUUUGAUGUUUGGAUGAAGUGAAGGGAGAGAGGAAAUGGCAAGCCAGCACUAUAGAUCGCAAUUUGGGGACACGACGUUUACCAAGGUGUUUGUAGGAGGGCUGGCAUGGGAAACGCCAACAGAGGAAAUGAGGAGAUAUUUCGAGCAGUUUGGAGAGAUACUCGAGGCGGUUAUUAUCACCGAUAAGAACACCGGUCGAUCGAAGGGCUAUGGAUUCGUGACUUAUCGGGAUCCGGAAUCUGCAAGGAGGGCUUGCAUCGAUCCGAAUCCUGUGAUCGACGGUAGAAGAGCGAAUUGCAACAUUGCUUCUUUGGGGCGGCCUCGCCCUUCCCCACCAAGAGGUCGAAACCAAGGUGGAAUUUCGUACCAUGGAGGUGCACCAGCAACUUCAUAUGGUCGGGUUGUAGCACCUCCCCCACCACCUCCUCCUCUUCUUUAUCCACCUUACGGGUAUGCAACGUACACACCCGAAUACGGAUAUCCCCAAGCUGUCUAUAACCCUCAGAUUCCACCGCAGUAUUACCAACAAAUGUACGGAACGUCAUCGUCGGCCGGUGGUCCCUAUCAUUACGCCGCUCACGGAGGAUACUCUUUCCAUGCAGCCGGGGCGAGUUUUUCAGCCCCUCAAGGGCAUCGUAUUCAACCCCCUCCUUUCCUACACUAUCCUGCGCAGGGGGAGGGCUCUGUCACCCCUCCACAACACCCGUACCCCUUUCCACCACCAGCUCCACUGCGGCAACAGCUUCCCGUGCACGGGUCCUGAGUUCUCCAAGGAUUAUUACGGUCUUUACCUUAUCGAAUUUGGUGAAUCUUUUAUCAGUUUUGGCCAGAAAGUUCUUUGCAUUCUCUUUAUCGGACUUGCAGACUCAUCAACAACCCUCAACAACAACAACAACUACUACUACUACCACAACAGCAACAGCAGCUACUUCUGGGAAUUCAGAUACUUUUGAAAGAGGUGCAUCGUAACUAUCGGUUGCGAUGCUUUGCUUGGUAAUGGUCCAUUUGUAUAAUCAAAACAAGCACACAUUCAUCUACAACAUUAUAUUUUCUUCUUUUCUUAUUUUAGUCCAGUGUAGGAAAAGCUGCAGAUCAAGAAGGUGAGUAUUGCUGUGAGAGCUUAAUCCACACAAGAUCUGUGGCAACUAGACAUGGACAUUAAUCAACCCCUAAACUGUUCUUUUGUUUUUUUAUUUUUUUAAGGGGGCUUCUUUUUUAUUUAUUUUUUUGUUAUUUGUUUUUUUAUUCUUGAGACUACCAACCCUGAAAAUGUUCCAUAAAUGUAUGCAUAAAGAAGAGGGAUUUGUAGUCCACAUUAAGGAAUUCCAAUAAUUUCCACUGUCUUGGAUACUUUGGA